rnacentral:rRNA from 1 species
UACGGAGGGUGCGAGCGUUACCCGGAUUUACUGGGUGUAAAGGGCGUGUAGGCGGUCUCUCAAGUCCGAUGCUAAAGACCGAAGCUCAACUUCGGGGGUGCGUUGGAUACUGUGAGGCUAGACGGUCGGAGAGGGUAGCGGAAUUUCCGGAGUAGCGGUGAAAUGCGCAGAUACCGGAAGGAACGCCAAUAGCGAAAGUAGCUACCUGGACGAUUUGUGACUCUGAGGCGCGAAAGCGUGGGGAGCAAACCGG